UCCCGUUUGCUACGGGCAGUCUCGCCAGAAAAGUACAACUGGCAACAGGGGUUGCGCUCGUCGCGGGACUUAACCCAACACCUCACGGCACGAGCUGACGACAGCCGUGCAUCACCUCGCAUGGUGCCCCGAAGGGAAACCGGCUUUCACCGGCCGUCACCACACGUUCAAGCCCAGGUAAGGUUCUUCGCGUCGCAUCGAAUUAAACCACACGCUCCGCUGCUUGUGCGGGCCCCCGUCAAUUCCUUUGAGUUUUAGCCUUGCGGCCGUACUCCCCAGGCGGCUCACUUAUCGCGUUAGCUGCGCCACCGAAACGCUAAGCGCCCCGACAGCUAGUCAUCAUCGUUUACGGCGUGGACUAC
rnacentral:misc_RNA from 1 species